rnacentral:rRNA from 1 species
UCCGGUUGAUCCUGCCGGAGGCUACCGCUAUUGGAGUUCGAUUAAGCCAUGCGAGUCGAGAGUCUUAGGGACUCGGCAUACCGCUCAGUAACACGUGGGUAACCUGCCCUAUGCUGGGGGAUAACCUCGGGAAACUGAGAAUAAUACCCCAUAGUUCACCACGCCUGGAACGGUGGGUGGACCAAAGCUCCGGCGGCAUAGGAUGGGCCUGCGACGUAUCAGGUUGUAGGGGGUGUAACGUACCCUCUAGCCAUCAACGCGUACGGGUGUUGGGAGACAUAGCCCGGAGAUGGAUUCUGAGACACGAAUCCAGACCCUACGGGGUGCAGCAGGCGCGAAAUCUUGGCAAUGCGAGCAAUCGUGACCAGGGAACUCCAAGUGGCUGGGGUAAGACCCAGUUUUUUCUUGACUCUUCAAAGGUCUUGGAAUAAGGGGUGGGUAAGGACGGUGCCAGCCGCCGCGGUAAUACCGGCGCCUCAAGUGGUAGUCGCUUUUAUUGGGCCUAAAACGUCCGUAGCCGGUCUGGUACAUUCGUGGGUAAAUCAACCCGCUCAACGGGUUGAAUUCUGCGAGCACGGCCAGACUUGGGACCGGGAGAGGUGUGGGGUACUCUCAGGGUAGGGGUAAAAUCCUGUCAUCCUGAGAGGACCACCUGUUGCGAAGGCGCCACACUAGAACGGAUUCGACGGUCAGGGACGAAACCUAGGGGCACGAACCGGAUUAGAUACCCGGGUAGUCCUAGGUGUAAACGCUGUGGACUUGAUGUUGGGGGCGCUCCGAGCGCUUUCAGUGUCGAAGCGAAGGUGAUAAGUCCACUGCCUGGGGAGUACGGUCGCAAGGCUGAAACUUAAAGGAAUUGGCGGGGGAGCACUGCAACCUGAGGAUUGUGCGGUUUAAUUGGAUUCAACGCGGGA